AUCUUUUCUACGUAAAAAUAGAUUUGUUAGUAUACUCUGGUUACGAACCAAAACAGUUUUAUUUGCUCGACCUCCAGUUCUGCCUGGGCGACACCUCCCUCAACGCCUGGAGACGGCGGAUCGGCGUCUUCGCCGUGGGUCACACCGGCUGGACGGCACAUCUGAUGCAGUGCAAACCACGACUGGUCGACGUCGUUCUUUAGUACCACACAAUUCAGCAUGAUUCCGAGGGUCCAAAUGUGACGACAGGUACAUGAAGGCCGGCAUGCAUGAAGAGGAUGACAAGGCGAAGUUAGAUUCUGCAUGCAGCACCACUGGAUACUUCAUAUAGUACGACCUGCACCCGUGCACCCCGCAGCUACGAUUACGGCUCCACGUAUUAGUCGUGUGGUGCAUCUCUAGUAGACUAGACGAGGCUUGUAUCGCAGCUACGGCAGUACGCGCAUGAAUCACUGAUGAAUGAAGCAACUGAGACACAUCGCUGCCACCGUUAAUCAUCGUGUGGUGGUAUCUGCUACGAACUACAAAGUCAAAGGCAUAGAUCUUUGUUGCGUGCCUACUUGCCUUUGAUGCAUGCACCACACCAUGUCUGCAUGACGUGUACAUAGCAGAAAUGGAAUGCUUCAACUCAUUGUAUAGUUCUGUUGUAUAUGAUGUUCUGCAUA